UACGUAGGGUGCAAGCGUUGUCCGGAAUUAUUGGGCGUAAAGAGCUCGUAGGCGGCUUGUCGCGUCGGCUGUGAAAACUCGGGGCUCAACCCCGAGCCUGCAGUCGAUACGGGCAGGCUAGAGUCCGGCAGGGGAGACUGGAAUUCCUGGUGUAGCGGUGAAAUGCGCAGAUAUCAGGAGGAACACCAAUGGCGAAGGCAGCACUCUGGGACGUGACUGACGCUGAGACGCGAAAGCGUGGGGAGCAAACAGG
rnacentral:rRNA from 1 species